UACGAAGGGGGCUAGCGUUGCUCGGAAUCACUGGGCGUAAAGCGCACGUAGGCGGCUUCUUAAGUCGGGGGUGAAAUCCUGGAGCUCAACUCCAGAACUGCCUUUGAUACUGAGGAGCUUGAGUCCGGGAGAGGUGAGUGGAACUGCGAGUGUAGAGGUGAAAUUCGUAGAUAUUCGCAAGAACACCAGUGGCGAAGGCGGCUUACUGGUCCGGUUCUGACGCUGAGGCGCGAAAGCGUGGGGAGCAAACAGG
rnacentral:rRNA from 1 species